rnacentral:rRNA from 1 species
CCAGCGAACUUGGCAGAGAUGCCUUGGUGCCUUCGGGAACGCUGAGACAGGUGCUGCAUGGCUGUCGUCAGCUCGUGUUGUGAAAUGUUGGGUUAAGUCCCGCAACGAGCGCAACCCUUAUCCUUUGUUGCCAGCGAUUCGGUCGGGAACUCAAAGGAGACUGCCGGUGAUAAACCGGAGGAAGGUGGGGAUGACGUCAAGUCAUCAUGGCCCUUACGAGUAGGGCUACACACGUGCUACAAUGGCGCAUACAAAGAGAAGCGACCUCGCGAGAGCAAGCGGACCUCAUAAAGUGCGUCGUAGUCCGGAUCGGAGUCUGCAACUCGACUCCGUGAAGUCGGAAUCGCUAGUAAUCGUGGAUCAGAAUGCCACGGUGAAUACGUUCCCGGGCCUUGUACACACCGCCCGUCACACCAUGGGAGUGGGUUGCAAAAGAAGUAGGUAGCUUAACCUUCGGGAGGGCGCAUACCACUUUGUGAUUCAUGACUGGGGUGAAGUCGUAACAAGGUAAGCGUAGCGAG